rnacentral:sRNA from 1 species
AUCAGACUGAGAAAAACGAGCUGCGAGAUGAGAAACAGAGGCUGAAGACAGAGAAAGAAAAGCUGGAGCAGCAGCUGA